rnacentral:rRNA from 1 species
CCCUUAGAUGUUCUGGGCCGCACGCGCGCUACACUGACGAAGUCAGCGAGCAUCUCCUACGCCGAAAGGUGCGGGGAAUCUUGUGAAACUUUGUCGUGCUGGGGAUUGAUUUUUGAAAUUCUUGAUCAUCAACGAGGAAUUCCUAGUAAACGCAGAUCAUCAAUCUGCAUUGAUUACGUCCCUGCCCUUUGUACACACCGCCCGUCGCACCUACCGAUUGGAUGGUCCGGUGAAGCCUCGGGAUUGUGGUUCUUGCCGCUUUAUUGUGGCGUGACCGCGAGAACUUGUCUAAACCUUAUCAUCUAGAGGAAGGUGAAGUCGUAACA